UUCAUCUCUAAGAAAAGCUUUAGUUAGCCGUCAUUUUUCAAAAAUACGAGCUUAGUAUUUUACUCUUUCGGAUCAGAUUUGUUUCUAUCUGUGAGGAAGAAGCGAAGUCGAGGAGUUUUUAAACACUUCGUUGGUCUCUAUUGGCUGAUAGCCAUAAGGGAGACGUUCGAACUCAUUUGUCGAGCUUCGGAUCUGUUCUUUACGAGAGAGUAGAUUCGAGGCCCCGUCUCAGUUCACUGCACCAGCAAGAGAGCCAAAGAGUCCCAUUUUGAGACUCGACGUCACCGCGAGACCUGAAACGUGCAUUUGUAUAUCCUUCCGUGCUUCUCACUCUCUCAAAUACAUCUCAACACGAAUGAAAAGCGGGGGGAAGUUGGCGAACAUUCUACCAUAAUCUUCCUUCAAUUCCCUAUCUUAAAGUGUUAUGCUUGUUGUUUCUUUUCAGUUAUCUAAGAAUGAAUGUUUGUUGUUUACUGUUGGUGUUUGUCCUUUUAAAACUCUA